AUUGAACGCUGGCGGCAGGCUUAACACAUGCAAGUCGAGCGGGGAAGAGUAGCUUGCUACUGGACCUAGCGGCGGACGGGUGAGUAAUGCUUAGGAAUCUGCCUAUUAGUGGGAGACAACAUCUCGAAAGGGAUGCUAAUACCGCAUACGUCCUACGGGAGAAAGCAGGGGACCUUCGGGCCUUGCGCUAAUAGAUGAGCCUAAGUCGGAUUAGCUAGUUGGUGGGGUAAAGGCCUACCAAGGCGACGAUCUGUAGCGGGUCUGAGAGGAUGAUCCGCGACACUGGGACUGAGACACGGCCCAGACUCCUACGGGAGGCAGCAGUGGGGAAUAUUGGACAAUGGGGGGAACCCUGAUCCAGCCAUGCCGCGUGUGUGAAGAAGGCCUUUUGGUGGUAAAGCACUUUAAGCGAGGAGGAGGCUACCGAGAUUAAUACUCUUGGAUAGUGGACGUUACUCGCAGAAUAAGCACCGGCUAACUCUGUGCCAGCCGCCGCAGUAA
rnacentral:rRNA from 1 species